UAUUGGUCAAUGGGCGGGAGCCUGAACCAGCCAAGUCGCGUAAGGGAAGACGGUCCUACGGAUUGUAAACCUCUUUUGCCGGGGAGCAACGGGGCCCUUGCAAGGUCCCAAUGAGAGUCCCCGGUGAAAAAGCAUCGGCUACCACCGUGCCAGCAGCCGCGGUAAUACGGAGGAUGCGAGCGUUAUCCGGAUUUAUUGGGUUUAAAGGGUGCGUAGGCGGGCUGUUAAGUCAGCGGUCAAAUGUCGGGGCUCAACCCCGGCCUGCCGUUGAAACUGGCGGCCUCGAGUGGGCGAGAAGUAUGCGGAAUGCGUGGUGUAGCGGUGAAAUGCAUAGAUAUCACGCAGAACUCCGAUUGCGAAGGCAGCAUACCGGCGCCCUACUGACGCUGAGGCACGAAAGCGUGGGUAUCGAACAGG
rnacentral:rRNA from 1 species